rnacentral:rRNA from 1 species
GACGAACGCUGGCGGCGUGCUUAACACAUGCAAGUCGAACGGAAAGGCCCUGCUUUUGUGGGGUGCUCGAGGGGCGAACGGGUGAGUAACACGUGAGUAACCUGCCCUUGACUUUGGGAUAACUUCAGGAAGCUGGGGCUAAUACCGGAUAGGAGCUCCUGCUGCAUGGAGGGGGUUGGAAAGUUUCGGCGGUUGGGGAUGGACUCGCGGCUUAUCAGCUUGUUGGUGGGGUAGUGGCUUACCAAGGCUUUGACGGGUAGCCGGCCUGAGAGGGUGACCGGCCACCUUGGGACUGCGAUACGGCCCAGACUCCUACGGGAGGCAGCAGUGGGGAAUAUUGCACAAUGGGCGGAAGCCUGAUGCAGCAACGCCGCGUGCGGGAUGACGGCCUUCGGGUUGUAAACCGCUUUCGCCUGUGACGAAGCGUGAGUGACGGUAAUGGGUAAAGAAGCACCGGCUAACUACGUG